CCUCCCUCACAUUAUUCCUCUCUCCACUGCUCUACGAUCGACGUGCCGAACGGAGCUUCAACCAAGCAAUGGCAUCUGGCCUCCUGAAUCGGAAUCUCUUUCCGAUUUCUGCAACAUUGGUGAGAAUUUCUACAUGAACUCUGUUCGCUCAGAACCUGAAACUGAAGAGCUCGAUUCGCGUGAAAAUAAUGCAGUUUUCGAGCAAUGGAAGCAUCCUUUCUACAAGUUUUCUAUCUUAUCUCUGCCUUUUGCUCAAGCUUUUCGCUAGUUGUCCGCCAUCAUGCAUAUCGUGUGCAGUGUGAAUAUCCAUUCAUAGGGAACUGCCUCAACAGAUCCACCACCCAGAAAGUUGCAACUUUUCUCAUACGAGAACAACCUGUAUACUCGUGAAGUGUGCGCGAGGCAUUGUGAGAGCUGGAGCUUCCUUGCAUCUUUCAUAAACGUGGGAGAAGGAUCAUAACGGACAAAGUUAGUUCUCAACAUCUCCGGAUCGAAAGAGGUACAUUAUUUUGUCGAUCCCAGUACUGGUAUUGAAACUGGCAACUACAAGCAGAUUUUGUCUCAUAUUCUAGACAUGUUCUGCAGCCACCCUGCAAUUUUGGCGUCUGAUACCAUUACAUGCCUUACCUGUGAAGCAAUACAAGUCUUUGCCAAACAAGCUUUUAUGGUCGCAAAUAUAUUUUGUACAAGAAGAAAGCAAGGGUAUUGAUUGCAGUCUUAAAUAUUA